rnacentral:rRNA from 1 species
GACGAACGCUGGCGGCGUGCUUAACACAUGCAAGUCGAACGGAAGGGCCCUGCUUUUGUGGGGUGCUCGAGUGGCGAACGGGUGAGUAACACGUGAGUAACCUGCCCUUGACUUUUGGAUAACUUCAGGAAACUGGGGCUAAUACCGGAUAGGAGCUCCUGCUGCAUGGUGGGGGUUGGAAAGUUUCGGCGGUUGGGGAUGGACUCGCGGCUUAUCAGCUUGUUGGUGGGGUAGUGGCUUACCAAGGCUUUGACGGGUAGCCGGCCUGAGAGGGUGACCGGCCACAUUGGGACUGAGAGACGGACCAGACUCCUACGGGAGGCAGCAGUGGGGAAUAUUGCACAAUGGGCGGAAGCCUGAUGCAGCAACGCAGCGUGCGGGAUGACGGCCUUCGGGUUGUAAACCGCUUUCGCCUGUGACGAAGCGUGAGUGACGGUAAUGGGUAAAGAAGCACCGGCUAACUACGUG